CAUAUCAUAUUGAAACACUGGUUCUCGUAUGAUUACCAAAGUUAAGCAACGCUAAGGCUUGAUCAGUACCUAGGUAGGUGACCACUUGGGAAUACCAGGUGUUGUAAG